GGGGGAAAUGUCCCAACUGGAGCAGCAGUGCCAGACAAUUAGGUCAGCAGGAUGAAGCAAGUCCUCAACGGAAAAUCCAGUCAAGGGAUUAGAAGUCAGGAAAAGGGCAAACAGGUUGGGAAGUAGAAUGACUACAGGAUGUAAAGGGGACCAGAGCAAGGUUCAGGAAGAAGACAAAAGUGUCAGAGAUGGGCUGAAUGUGGAGGCAGAUUCAUGGCUCAGGAAUAUACCAUUUGACCGAAACGAGUGGAAGAAUUGGAUCAAAGGCCUAAAACACACCAGCUUCUGCAUUUCCAGGUUAAAGCUGACUCCACAUCCUAAGGGACCAACACAAGCCAUCAAGUUAAAUGAUGUCCCUGAUAGCUCCGUGGAUCAAUAGUUAUAUAGGCCUAUUCCUCAUCUGAGCUCUGUCAGGGCCCAAAUUAUACACUGUACAGGAAAACCACCUCCUGGAUUUACUGCUUCUGCACCCCCCAGCCAUGGCAGGUGGCUUAUCGCCCUGCAUUUAUUUCUUUUAAGCUUUAACUAAGUCUUCGCUCCCGAUUUUUCGACAUUUCCAAAGUGGUGGAGCAGCAAUUAGUCAAGUUCUCCUUCUACAAAACAGCAAGGAUUUCCUUGACUUUUAAAGAGACUCUUUAAUGUCCUAUUUCUCUCACAGAGUUAUGAAAAAUCUUCAAGUUGAAGGACAUACAUUUGGCAGAGAUUAUAAUAGUAUGAAGAAGCAGACAAGAACUUGACCAUCUACAGUAUUUUUGAUGCCCGUAGGAUAAUCCGCUAGACUCUGGACCAUCAGCAUUUGUAGGGAGUGGCUGAUGAACUGAAACCUCUAGUUCUCCUCCUGAUGCUCAGGUGCUGGUAAAAGGCAGCUGUUUCCAGAUGUCAUGAAUCAACCUUUAUGUCUGGCUGACGUGGUGUUUGCAGGAAACAUCUUGCAAUACCGUCGUGGGUUACUGGGAGCUUCUUGGACAAGAUUAUUUGCAAGUC
rnacentral:lncRNA from 1 species